CAGAGGGUAGUCUAAUUUAGGAUCUUAGCUUUGGGAGUUGAGGGUGGGAGUUAAAAUCUUCUCCUUCUGA
rnacentral:tRNA from 1 species